GGUAGGACAUUCAGGAUGGACCAUUCAUACAUUCAGGAAUGACGCGACCAAGGACAAAAGACACACAAGGCAUAAAUACACUGGGAAGGUGCAGGUGAUUGGACACAGGUGGAAACAAUCAGACACGGCAGACAAUCACAGGACAAGGUAGGAAGUGAAGUUAGCCAGGGACACAAGAGGCAAAAAAACUACCAGCCCAAACCGUGCCAGAACACCCCCCCACAAGGGCCGGAUUCCGGACCACAGGAUGGGACGAAGCGGGGACUGGAGGCGUCGGGGUUGCUGCGGCCCAGCGGGAACGGGAGUAUGCUGCUUCCUCUUGCCAGGGCUCCUUCUCCUGGGGUUGAGGAGGUUCCGUAGCUCGAGACAAGCUCUU
ensembl:lncRNA